AUAUCCGGCUUUUUGUAAAUGACAUAAUUGUCCCUUGCGAAUACAGAGAUAUUGUCAGAACAACAGGAUUCCAGAAACGUAUAAAAAAUGUCCUUGUUGAAUUAUAUCUUGAUGGCUGUUAUACUUCUCUUUGCUGUGUAUGCAUGUGACAGCUAUUCUUUUCACCAGGAUUCAAUGGAUCCUACAUUAAUGAAAAUCGACGAUAAAGAAGCCUUUGCUUUUCUUGGUAAGAAUACAGGUAAACAUUGCGAAGAAACGCCAAAACCAGGUUACAGUUUAUUCGUUCAAAAUGAAGAAGUGCCCAAGCCAUUUGUGUUAGUGUAAUAUACCUGACACGAAAACCUUAUAAAUGAGUUGUCAAUAAAGAAAGACGAUUACUUCAGAUUUUCACUUGCCUCAAUACAGCCUUCUAACAUUAGACUCCAUGCAGUUUUAAUUUUCCAUGUUCUGUUGGUACAAAUGUAUAUAUUGUGUACAUCCUUCUAUUACUAUAACAUACUAUUAACGCCUUAAAACAGUUCUUUUUAAGUUCUGUUAAUAUUGAUGUAUAUGCUGUGAACAUCCUUCCAAUAUACUGUUAACUCCUUACAGUUGUCCUAAUAUGUUCUGUUAAUACCAAUUGAUAUAUAUGCUCCUUAUUAUCUUCUAACAUUGUGUUAACUCCGUACAGUUAUCAUUUAUAUGUUCUGUUAAUACAAAUAAACAUGCUGUGUAUAACAUUCUAAUAUACUGUUAACUCUUUAAAGUUAAAUUUUUCAUGUUCUGUUUAUACACAUUUUAUGCUGUAUACAACCUUAUAACUUACUGAUAACUCUUUACAAUUGUUAAUUUUAUGUUUUGGCGGUACAAAAUAAUAUGCUGUUUACAACCUUCUAAUAUACUGUUAACUCCCUACAA